GACGAACGCUGGCGGCGUGCUUAACACAUGCAAGUCGAGCGGUAAGGCCCUUUCGGGGUACGACGAGCGGCGAACGGGUAGAGUAACACGUGGGUGACCUCGCCCUCCAGCUCUGGGAGUAAGCCUGGGAAACGUAGGGUCGUAAUACUGGAUAUGACUCCACGGUGCAUGUCGGUGGGGUGGAAAGCCUUGUGCGGCUGAGGAUGGGCCCGCGGCCUAUCAGCUUGUUGGUGGGGUGA
rnacentral:rRNA from 1 species